rnacentral:ncRNA from 1 species
GCAACCUGAAGCUGGCCCGGCGCGACGUGGUGGUGUUCCGCUCCCUGCUGGGCAUCAGCUGGAUGUGGUUCUUCGGCGCGGUGUUCCUCAGCCAGUUCCCCAGCUUCGCCCGCGAGGUGCUG